UUGAUGUUAAUAUGCAAUCAAAUAUAUUCUACACGUAAACCUUAGUUAAGUUUGUAGAUAAAUUUCAUUGAAUACUUGAAUUUUUAGCUGGAAUUUUUUUAAAAUUUUAAUAUUUAUUUCAUAUUGGUAGCCUCAAAUUUUUACUUAAAAUUCCCAGCAAUUCCUAAACAUUUCUAGAAUUUCCUGAAAAUUCCCAGAAACUCCUGAAAAUUCCUAGAAAUUUCUAGGAAUUUUUUAGAUUUACAGCUUUUCAGCAAAAGUCAUUGGUGCUCUGAGUUGGAAUUCCUAGGAAUUCCAAGUCCUGUCGGCUAUAAACUUGGAAUUUCUGAGAAUUUCUGGGAUUUUCUAGGUUUUUAGAACCAGAGUUGUUAUAGUUGGGAAUUCCUAGGAAUUCCUGUGAAAAUUCACACCUCUUAUUCCUAGGAUAAUCUUAGGAAUUCCAAAAUCCAUUUUGCAAGGGUCUUGUCUCAGAAAAAAUACUAACAUCUGUACUUGAAUAAUUCAAAUCAUUGCAGACAUCAUCAAUAUAUCUGUACAGUGACCUUUUAUUUAAGUAAUAUUAAAUUUAAAUAAUAUUAAAUUUAAUAAUAUUUGAUGAGUAUUGUGAAUAAGAGUUAUAGACAAAUUUAACUUAGUUUUGUUUCUAAAACAUUAUAUUUUUUUAACAUCAUGGCCAGCUGACAGCUAUUUUGUCCUCAUAAAGGUCAAUAAUAUAUAUAAACCUUCUAUAUUUGUUACUCUACUCAAUCCUACAUAGUGAAUAUGUGCUAUUGCCAUUUUAGUAUCUAAAAUUUACAACUAUGGUAUUUUAGUUUCACUAGAACCCUGCAAUCUGUGAAUGGUUUAAGCAGUGGCAAGUCUUAAUAGAAACUGUUUUAUUACAACCUGUACUGUUCUAUUUGUACCAAAAGCAAACUAUGAGGUCACUGUUUUGAUAUAGGUGUCCACCUACAUGAUCAAUAUCUUAUACAUGGAGAUGUAUAUUUUCUUGUCUUGUUUUCUCACCAAUAUCAGCAUGGUCAAACUGCGCCCAUAUGAUGCCUGAUGGUUUACCAGCUCGCUACUCUGAAACCCAGCUCCAAAAACAUUGUAAUAUGCUUUGAUGGAAUACUAUGGUCUAGAUAAGACACGAACUUUGUCAUAGAAUUCAUUUACUUUGGCAUUUUGAAUGAAGAAAUGAGGAGCAUCCAGUGGAUAAUUGUUGUUGCCAGUUCGUAUCAAUCUCUCAUUAAAUUUUGUUGUACCCUCUUUAGUAUGUUUACCCUCCCUUAGUAUACUUAAAAUUUCAGCAUACAGCCUACUUUCCCUCUGUCUUAAUACUUGAUGCAGUUUAAACAUCUUAAAAUGUUCUUGCCAAAGGUUUGGGGUAAGAAUACUAUAUUAAGAAUCAUUCAUCUCUUUAAAUAUAUAACCAUCCAUGACUGGUUUCAGCUGAAAUAAAUCACCUACAGCAACAAUACUGACACCACCAAAGGGUAAUGAGCUUCCUUUAUUGUCUUUAAGUCUACAGUUUAUUUGUACAUUAAACAUACCAUUGCCAACAAUAGAGAUCUCAUCUAUAAAUAUAAGUUUGAUUGCACUGAGCUGGCUUCGUAAAGUAUUGAGUCUAAGUACUAGAAUCAAAACUUUUAUAAGUCUUCAAUAAAUGGAAAGCAGCUGUUCAUAGAUCUGUAUGUAUAGUAUUACACUUAAUAUUAUAACUGCUUUGCCAGUAGGUGCUAGCAUCAAUACCAUUACUUCAUGAAAGUCAAAAUCAGCUCUAGUAUUAUAAUAUUUAAAUCCUGAUCCUCUACUGAGAAAACAGUAGAAAGGCCCAUCUGAGGUUUAUCGUAAGUGCAGUACAUGAUAAAAUAAUUCCUUUUGCUUGUUGUCUAAUAUUUGAACAAUCUGCCUAUACUCUUCAUCUUUCAAUUCAUUUUGCAUUAAUUGCUCAUAGUUUGCAUCAACUGUUGGUAUCCCUUUGUCAUCUGAUAAGUAAUAAUUCUCAUUAAAAUCAGGUUGUAGAUCUUCAUUUCCCAGUGCCUUAUCACUGUGUUCAACAUUUUAAGUAUAUGGUGCUAUCAAGUCAUAUUCUUUAUCUGUGUCUUCCACAUGUUAUUAACCUGUUCCUGUAAUUCAUUAAAAUCUUUAUGAUAUAUUGACACAUGA
rnacentral:lncRNA from 1 species